rnacentral:rRNA from 1 species
CCAGACUCCUACGGGAGGCAGCAGUGGGGAAUAUUGCACAAUGGGCGCAAGCCUGAUGCAGCCAUGCCGCGUGUAUGAAGAAGGCCUUCGGGUUGUAAAGUACUUUCAGCAGUGAGGAAGGAGGUAUCGUUAAUAGCGGUAUCUUUUGACGUUAGCUGCAGAAGAAGCACCGGCUAACUCCGUGCCAGCAGCCGCGGUAAUACGGAGGGUGCGAGCGUUAAUCGGAAUUACUGGGCGUAAAGCGCAUGCAGGUGGUUUGUUAAGUCAGCUGUGAAAGCCCGGGGCUCAACCUCGGAAUUGCAUUUGAAACUGGCAGGCUAGAGUACUGUAGAGGGGGGUAGAAUUUCAGGUGUAGCGGUGAAAUGCGUAGAGAUCUGAAGGAAUACCGGUGGCGAAGGCGGCCCCCUGGACAGAUACUGACACUCAGAUGCGAAAGCGUGGGGAGCAAACAGGAUUAGAUACCCUGGUAGUCCACGCCGUAAACGAUGUCUACUUGGAGGUUGUGGCCUUGAGCCGUGGCUUUCGGAGCUAACGCGUUAAGUAGACCGCCUGGGGAGUACGGUCGCAAGAUUAAAACUCAAAUGAAUUGACGGGGGCCCGCACAAGCGGUGGAGCAUGUGGUUUAAUUCGAUGCAACGCGAAGAACCUUACCUACUCUUGACAUCCAGAGAACUUAGCAGAGAUGCUUUGGUGCCUUCGGGAACUCUGAGACAGGUGCU